rnacentral:rRNA from 1 species
UACGUAGGGGGCAAGCGUUGUCCGGAAUCAUUGGGCGUAAAGAGCGUGUAGGCGGCCCGAUAAGUCCGCUGUGAAAGUCCAGGGCUCAACCCUGGGAUGCCGGUGGAUACUGUCGGGCUCGAGUCCGGAAGAGGAGAGUGGAAUUCCUGGUGUAGCGGUGAAAUGCGCAGAUAUCAGGAAGAACACCCGUGGCGAAGGCGGCUCUCUGGGACGGUACUGACGCUGAGACGCGAAAGCGUGGGGAGCAAACAGG